GAUGAACGCUGGCGGCGUGCCUAAUACAUGCAAGUCGAGCGAACAGACGAGGAGCUUGCUCCUCUGACGUUAGCGGCGGACGGGUGAGUAACACGUGGAUAACCUACCUAUAAGACUGGGAUAACUUCGGGAAACCGGAGCUAAUACCGGAUAAUAUAUUGAACCGCAUGGUUCAAUAGUGAAAGACGGUUUUGCUGUCACUUAUAGAUGGAUCCGCGCCGCAUUAGCUAGUUGGUAAGGUAACGGCUUACCAAGGCAACGAUGCGUAGCCGACCUGGGAGGGUGAUCGGCCACACUGGAACUGAGCCACGGUCCAGACUCCUACGGGAGGCAGCAGUAGGGAAUCUGCCGCAAUGGGCGAAAGCCUGACGGAGCAACGCCGCGUGAGUGAUGAAGGUCUUCGGAUCGUAAAACUCUGUUAUUAGGGAAGAACAAAUGUGUAAGUAACUAUGCACGUCUUGACGGUACCUAAUCAGAAAGCCACGGCUAACUACGUG
rnacentral:rRNA from 1 species